UACAGAGGUCCCAAGCGUUGUUCGGAUUCAUUGGGCGUAAAGGGUGCGUAGGCGGCGCGGCAAGUCGGGUGUGAAAUCUCGGAGCUUAACUCCGAAACUGCAUUCGAUACUGCCGUGCUUGAGGACUGGAGAGGAGACUGGAAUUUACGGUGUAGCGGUGAAAUGCGUAGAUAUCAGGAGGAACACCGGUGGCGAAGGCGAGGCUCUGGGCCGUAACUGACGCUGAGGAGCGAAAGCGUGGGGAGCAAACAGG
rnacentral:rRNA from 1 species